AAUGAACGCUGGCGGCAGGCCUAAAACAUGCAAGUCGAACGCUCUAGCAAUAGAGAGUGGCGCACGGGUGAGUAACACGUGGGAAUAUGCCUUUUGGUACGGAACAACGUCUGGAAACGGACGCUAAUACCGUAUGGUCCUCCGGGGUAAAGAUUUAUCGCCAAAAGAUUAGCCCGCGUCUGAUUAGCUAGUUGGUGAGGUAAUGGCUCACCAAGGCGACGAUCAGUAGCUGGUCUGAGAGGACGAUCAGCCACACUGGGACUGAGACACGGCCCAGACUCCUACGGGAGGCAGCAGUUAGGAAUAUUGGACAAUGGGCGCAAGCCUGAUCCAGCCAUGCCGCGUGAGUGAUGAAGGCCUUCGGGUUGUAAAGCUCUUUAGUCCACGAAUAUAAUGACUGUAGUGGAAGAAUAAGCCCCGGCUAACUUCGUGCCAGCCGCCGCAGUAAAAC
rnacentral:rRNA from 1 species